GGUGCGGGCUCCCUCGGUCCUCUCUCUCGGGCCAGGCGGAGAGGGGGCAGCUCCACUGGCAAAGUCAGACUGGAGCUGGGGAGGGGGAGAUCUUUCUCUGCCCCUCUGCAGAGCUACCCCCACCAGUGCAGCGGUCCCCGGGGGAGCUGCAGGGGUUCCUCAAUAGUCCCCCCGCCCCCCACACACACCCCGAGAUCCCUGAAAUCCCAGCCGCAGAGGGAGAAGCCCGGGGGGGCAGCAGUGCCCUGGGAGCCGGGGGUGGGGGUGGUCCUUGGCGAGGGGCUGCGUCUCCCCCUCGGCAGGAAAGGCGCGGGGAAGAGCUGAGCCGCAGCCUGCGGGGAGCCCGGCACAUCCAAGCGAGACGGUCCUCCACGAUGAUCUUGAUCUGCUCCUUCACCUUGGUCUUGGCGGCGGCGGGCUGCCCCGCGCCGGGCGAGGAGGAGGAGGACGAGGAGGAGGUGGUCCCCUUGGACUUGGCGGACAUGCUGCGGGGCCGAGGCCGGGACGGCGGCGGGCGAGGCAGGACGAUGUGUUUCGGUCCAAGAUUGAGUCCCAGCUGCUCCCGCCCACCCUGGGCCUUUCUCCCAGUUUGGGGACCCGUACAGAUCUCCCUGGGGACCAGGGAGCAUCAUCUUAUGUUCGGAUUGCAUGAUGCCGCCCCGGGUCCGAGUCCCCUCCCUUCCCCUAAGGGGAUGUGGACGGGCCCCCGGGCCCUGGGGCUGCGGAGCAAGUGAGGCUCAAUCCACCUUCUCCUCCCUCGCGACGCCGCGGGGGAGCGGAGCCGCCUCGGAGCCCCUCUGGUUACUUCCGAGAAACAGGCAGGCUCACUCCCGCACAGGGCUGCCUCCUGGCUUGCUUCACCACUGAGUUUGCGGGGGCUGGAAGGGGAAGAGAUUGCCAGAUCCCGCUCACCUCUAGUGGCUUUUCAACUCACUGCAAGAAAAAGACAGCGUGGCCCAGUCUGGGGACUCGCAUCGGGCAUUUCCAGCUCAGAACAACCAGGAGAGGCCAGAGAGCCCAGCCCUGCUCACAGGAUCCCCCCGGGGGCUUUGCCACUGGCUUUGAAAUCUUGAAUGCUGCUGUUCCUGGACCUGUGUCCCCCCCAGGGUGUUUGUGCCCCAAAGCUUGCAAAGAACCUUUUUUCCAACUAGUUUAUUGGUCUAAUAAAAGAUAUC